GACGGAGGAUGCAAGUGUUAUCCGGAAUCACUGGGCGUAAAGCGUCUGUAGGUGGUCAAAUAAGUCAACUGUUAAAUCUCGAGGCUCAACCUCAAAAUCGCAGUCGAAACUAUUAGACUAGAGUAUAGUAGGGGUAAAGGGAAUUUCCAGUGGAGCGGUGAAAUGCGUAGAGAUUGGAAAGAACACCGAUGGCGAAGGCACUUUACUGGGCUAUUACUAACACUCAGAGACGAAAGCUAGGGUAGCAAAUGGG
rnacentral:rRNA from 1 species